rnacentral:rRNA from 1 species
UACGUAGGGCGCAAACGUUGUCCGGAUUCACUGGGUGUAAAGGGUGCGUAGGCGGGAAGGCAAGUCAGAGGUGAAAUCUCACGGCUCAACCGUGAAACUGCCUUUGAUACUGCUUUUCUUGAGUUAGGGAGAGGUCGAUGGAAUUCCAGGUGUAGCGGUGAAAUGCGUAGAUAUCUGGAAGAACACCGGUGGCGAAGGCGGUCGACUGGCCCUAAACUGACGCUGAGGCACGAAAGCGUGGGGAUCAAACAGG